rnacentral:rRNA from 1 species
AGAGUUUGGUCAGGGCUCAGAUUGAACGCUGGCGGCAGGCCUAACACAUGCAAGUCGAGCGGUAGCACAGAGAGCUUGCUCUCGGGUGACGAGCGGCGGACGGGUGAGUAAUGUCUGGGAAACUGCCUGAUGGAGGGGGAUAACUACUGGAAACGGUAGCUAAUACCGCAUAACGUCGCAAGACCAAAGUGGGGGACCUUCGGGCCUCAUGCCAUCAGAUGUGCCCAGAUGGGAUUAGCUUGUAGGUGAGGUAAUGGCUCACCUAGGCGACGAUCCCUAGCUGGUCUGAGAGGAUGACCAGCCACACUGGAACUGAGACACGGUCCAGACUCCUACGGGAGGCAGCAGUGGGGAAUAUUGCACAAUGGGCGCAAGCCUGAUGCAGCCAUGCCGCGUGUAUGAAGAAGGCCUUCGGGUUGUAAAGUACUUUCAGCGAGGAGGAAGGCGAUAAGGUUAAUAACCUUAUCGAUUGACGUUACUCGCAGAAGAAGCACCGGCUAACUCCGUGCCAGCAGCCGCGGUAAUACGGAGGGUGCAAGCGUUAAUCGGAAUUACUGGGCGUAAAGCGCACGCAGGCGGUCUGUCA